rnacentral:lncRNA from 1 species
UUGUUUUAUCUCUCCCCGAAAUCCACAAAAUAGCGCGCACACAAACACAAUACAUUAUAAGACUUCAGUCGCCAAUUACCCAAACUAGGGGUUCGGCUUCGUCGGAAGCCAUAGCUGAAUGCUGCAUUCCUUUGAAUAAAGGUUCGACAACGAUCAUCUAUUUCUUCAAUUUCUUUGUUGCAUUUUAUGUCUGUUUUGCGUGUAAUUCUUGCAAACAACCCAGCGAUUUAUUU